AACGCUAGCUACAGGCUUAACACAUGCAAGUAGAGGGGCAGCAUGAAUAAAGUUUCGGCUUUAUUUGAUGGCGACCUGCGAAUGGGUGAGUAACACGUAUCCAACCUGCCUGUUACUGGAGGAUAGCCUCCCGAAAGGGAAAUUAACACUCCAUAUUAUAUAGAUGAGGCAUCUUGUUUAUAUGAAAGUUUCACGGUAACGGAUGGGGAUGCGUCCCAUUAGAUAGUAGGCGGGGUAACGGCCCACCUAGUCGACGAUGGGUAGGGGUUCUGAGAGGAAGGUCCCCCACAUUGGAACUGAGACACGGUCCAAACUCCUACGGGAGGCAGCAGUGAGGAAUAUUGGUCAAUGGGCGAGAGCCUGAACCAGCCAAGUAGCGUGCAGGAUGACGGCCCUAUGGGUUGUAAACUGCUUUUAUACGGGGGUAAAGUCAUCCACGUGUGGAUGUUUGCAAGUACCGUAAGAAAAAGGAUCGGCUAAUUCCGUGCCAGCAGCCGCGGUAAUACGGAAGAUCCGAGCGUUAUCCGGAUUUAUUGGGUUUAAAGGGAGCGUAGGCGGACGAGCAAGUCAGUUGUGAAAGUUUGCGGCUCAACCGUAAAAUUGCAGUUGAAACUGUUUGUCUUGAGUUCACAUAAGGAUGGUGGAAUUUGUGGUGUAGCGGUGAAAUGCAUAGAUAUCACGAAGAACUCCGAUUG
rnacentral:rRNA from 1 species